rnacentral:rRNA from 1 species
UACGGGGGGGUAAGCGUUGUUCGGAAUUACUGGGCGUAAAGGGCUCGUAGGCGGCCAACUAAGUCAUACGUGAAAACCUGCAGCUUAACUGUGGGCUUGCGGUCGAUACGGGCAUCACUGGAGUUCGGCAGGGGAGACUGGAAUUCCUGGUGUAGCGGUGAAAUGCGCAGAUAUCAGGAGGAACACCCGUGGCGAAGGCGGCAUCCUGGACCGGUAUUGACGCUGAGGCGCGAAAGCUAGGGUAGCAAACGGG